UUGCUUUGGUGGCCCAUAUACUCCAUUUGGAACAAUACAGAGAUUACCAUGGCCUCUGCCAAAGAUCACAUGCAAAUUUGUGAAGUGUUCUAUAUUUUU
rnacentral:snRNA from 1 species